UUUUCAAGCGAUGAAUCUACUGGGUGAAUUACACUUCAGACAGGCCAAAAUUGAUUCGCAAGUCCGAAAAUUCUGUAAGCUGCGAUGGGGUACUUAGGUUUUUAUAUGACCCAGAGCUUGGACACAUAGAAGGCCAUGUUCAAGCGUCAAUGAAGGACAAAUCCUACCGAGUGCAGAUUGAACUAAAUGACCUCUAUGGGACGGACGUGACCAGGUGUGAUUGUCCAAUGGGUAAUUUCUAUUGCCACCAUGUCGCCGCUGUU